GGGAUGCAAGUCUAACGGCGGGGCGGGUGCUUGCACCUGGUGGCCAGUGGCGAACGGGUGAGUAAUACAUCGGAACGUACCUUGUAGUGGGGGAUAGCUCGGCGAAAGCCGGAUUAAUACCGCAUACGCUCUGAGGAGGAAAGCGGGGGACCUUCGGGCCUCGCGCUACAAGAGCGGCCGAUGUCAGAUUAGCUAGUUGGUGGGGUAAAAGCUCACCAAGGCGACGAUCUGUAGCUGGUCUGAGAGGACGACCAGCCACACUGGGACUGAGACACGGCCCAGACUCCUACGGGAGGCAGCAGUGGGGAAUUUUGGACAAUGGGCGAAAGCCUGAUCCAGCAAUGCCGCGUGUGUGAAGAAGGCCUUCGGGUUGUAAAGCACUUUUGUCCGGAAAGAAAUCCUCUGGGUUAAUACCUCGGGGGGAUGACGGUACCGGAAGAAUAAGCACCGGCUAACUACGUGCCAGCAGCCGCGGUAAUACGUAGGGUGCAAGCGUUAAUCGGAAUUACUGGGCGUAAAGCGUGCGCAGGCGGGUUUUGUAAGACGGAUGUGAAAUCCCCGGGCUUAACCUGGGAACUGCAUUCGUGACUGCAAGGCUAGAGUAUGGCAGAGGGGGGUAGAAUUCACGUGUAGCAGUGAAAUGCGUAGAGAUGUGGAGGAAUACCGAUGGCGAAGGAGCCCCUGGGCAAUAUUGACGCUCAUGCCC
rnacentral:rRNA from 1 species